CUAGUAACUGCGAGUGAAGCGGGAAAAGCUCAAAUUUGAAAUCUGGCAGUCUUUUUUUUCUUCUUUGGCUGUCCGAGUUGUAAUCUAGAGAAGUGCUUACCUGCACUGGACCAUGUAUAAGUCUCCUGGAAUGGAGCGUCGCAGAGGGUGAGAAUCCCGUCUUUGACAUGGACUGCCAGUGUGUUGUGGUGUGCUCUCAAAGAGUCGAGUUGUUUGGGAAUGCAGCUCUAAAUGGGUGGUAAACUCCAUCUAAAGCUAAAUAUUGGCGAGAGACCGAUAGUGAACAAGUACCGUGAGGGAAAGAUGAAAAGGACUUUGGAAAGAGAGUUAAACAGUAUGUGAAAUUGUUGAAAGGGAAACGCUUGAAGUCAGUUAUGUUGGCURGGGAUCAACCUAGCUACUUUUGCUGGGUGAAUUUCCUAGUCUUACAGGCCAACAUCAGUCUUGACUGCUAGAAAAGAGCAGAGGGAAUGUGGCACCUUUGGGUGUGUUAUAGCCCUUUGUCAUAUGUGGCAGUCGGGACUGAGGGAUGCAGCAUGCCGCGAGGAUGGGUUUCUGACCACGUUCAUGCUUAGGAUGUUGGCUUUUAAUGGCUUCAAUCGACCCGUCUUGAAACACGGACCAAGGAGUCUAACAUGCCUGCGAGUGUUUGGGUGGGGAAAACCCUUGUGCACAAUGAAAGUGAAAGUUGAGAUCCCUGUCAUGGGGAGCAUCGACGCCCGGACUUGAGCUUUUAGCGACGGAUCCGCGGUAGAGCAUGCAUGUUGGGACCCGAAAGAUGGUGAACUAUGCCUGAAUAGGGCAAAGCCAGAGGAAACUCUGGUGGAGGCUCGUAGCGAUUCUGACGUGCAAAUCGAUCGUCAAAUUUGGGUAUAGGGGCGAAAGAC
rnacentral:rRNA from 1 species